UACGUAGGGUGCAAGCGUUGUCCGGAAUUAUUGGGCGUAAAGAGCUUGUAGGCGGUUUGUCGCGUCUGCUGUGAAAUUUCGGGGCUCAACCCCGAACUUGCAGUGGGUACGGGCAGACUAGAGUGUGGUAGGGGGAGACUGGAAUUCCUGGUGUAGCGGUGAAAUGCGCAGAUAUCAGGAGGAACACCGAUGGCGAAGGCAGGUCUCUGGGCCACUACUGACGCUGAGGGACGAAGGCGUGGGGAGCAAACGGG
rnacentral:rRNA from 1 species